UUUUGGCAUACUGUAUUGUUUCUUGAUUGUGUUAGCCUCAAACUUUUUGCUUUGCUGUUAUGUAAUUUCACUCUUAGUUUGUUAGCCAAUUAGGUGUCAAUUACUCAGGAAAUUCAGCUUCAAUUGGUUGGGAUCAGAUGGAAGGAUGUAAACUAUACUGGAGUUAUACAGUCGUCAAUCUGUAGCUUACCAAGGUCGGUAAUGGAAGGAGCUUGGGGUGUUUCUAAUCACAACAAGGUAACACACACAUUAAUAUUAGAUGGAGUGGAGAUAACAAAUGGGAGAACCACAAA